rnacentral:rRNA from 1 species
GAUGAACGCUGGCGGCGUGCCUAAUACAUGCAAGUCGAACGCAGGGGGGACGGGUGAGUAACACGUGGGUAACCGCCCGUCAGAGGGGAUAACACUUGGCAACAGGUGCUAAAACCGAUAACGGUGGAUGGACCCGCGGGGCAUUAGCCAGUUGGUGAGGUAACGGCCCACCAAGGCCACGAUGCAUAGCCGACCGGAGAGGAUGAUCGGCCACACUGGGACGGAGAAACGGCCCAGACGCCUACGGGAGGCAGCAGUGGGGAAUCUUGGGCAAUGGACGAAAGUCUGACCGAGCAACGCCGCGUGAGUGAAGAAGGUUUUCGGAUCGUAAAACACUGUUGUUAGAGAAGCGGUAUCUAACCAGAAAGCCACGGCUAACUACGUGCCAGCAGCCGCGGUAAUUC